rnacentral:snoRNA from 1 species
UGGAGAUGAUGAUAAUAAGGCCGGACUUACGGCUGCUACCAGAAAGUUAAUUUUUUCAUGGUUGGUAGGAGAUUGAUGAACUUCUCAAGUUAAGGUGUCUGUUCCGAGCCAU